rnacentral:piRNA from 1 species
UGCUCUGUUUGCGGUUUGGUUAUUUUAUCU